rnacentral:rRNA from 1 species
AGAGUUUGAUCCUGGCUCAGGAUGAACGCUGGCGGCGUGCCUAACACAUGCAAGUCGAGCGAAGCGAUUUAGCGGAAGUUUUCGGAUGGAAGUUAAAUUGACUGAGCGGCGGACGGGUGAGUAACGCGUGGGUAACCUGCCUCAUACAGGGGGAUAACAGUUAGAAAUGACUGCUAAUACCGCAUAAGCGCACAGCAUCGCAUGAUGCCGUGUGAAAAACUCCGGUGGUAUGAGAUGGACCCGCGUCUGAUUAGCUAGUUGGUGAGGUAACGGCUCACCAAGGCGACGAUCAGUAGCCGACCUGAGAGGGUGAUCGGCCACAUUGGGACUGAGACACGGCCCAAACUCCUACGGGAGGCAGCAGUGGGGAAUAUUGCACAAUGGGGGAAACCCUGAUGCAGCAACGCCGCGUGAGUGAAGAAGUAUUUCGGUAUGUAAAGCUCUAUCAGCAGGGAAGAAAAUGACGGUACCUGACUAAGAAGCCCCGGCUAACUACGUGCCAGCAGCCGCGGU